rnacentral:lncRNA from 1 species
GAAAAGGCUGAGCAUAACCUUUACCGCAAUAAUUGGAUUUUUGCCAUCAGGAAAAGCCUGUUACAAUUGUGUCCUCUGAGAAAUAAUACACCUUUAGGUUUAGUUUUAUAGAAACUAUUCUCUGUAACCUCAGAGGGCUCAAACUCCAGUGAAAGAGAUGUGAGGUGCAUGGGCCGGAUCCUUACACAUCAAGUCAAUACCUGUCAAUAGCAUUGGUUGGUUUACACCAGCUUCAUCUGAAAAUCAUUUUGUGAGACACCUCCUAAAAGCACAGACUAAUCUUAGAGCUGUCUCUUUAGUCUUCCUCCUUUUGUUUUCAUUUUUGUUGUUGUUGCUUCAGCUCACGCUGUUUUGCUGGUGAAUUUGCUGCCAGUGUGGAACUACUUCACGCCAUGUCAGCCUGAAAGCAAUGGAGAAGAAUCAUAGGAGACAACGGCAAAGCAGCCCUUUCUCAAAAGAAAGCGGCCUCAGCAAGUCCUGCUGGAUGCCAAAGGCUGGGAUACCUCCAGUGUCCAUGCCACAUGCACCAGCACAGACAAAGCUGCUGCUGGAAAGCAGUACAUUCAAGGUUGGCAUUAGUGCCAGAGGAGAAGAUGUAAGAUGGGUCCCAAACACCAACAGAAACUUUGCGUCUGAGCAUCACUUCAGACAAACUUGGGUGCUCUGCUUGCAUGGCUGACGGAGAAGACCCUCACAAUGCCAUUGAUAGAACAAAAGACCAAAUAUCAGUAAAUCUCUGUUGGAGUAUUGAUUCUUGCAUGCUCCUCUCAAUUUGUUACCUUAAAGACCUAAUGUGGAAGAGCCUUUUAUGAGGUGAACACCCUCCUCCUCCUUCUAGAAAUAACCUGCAAGUAUGGUUUGCCUCAUCAAAGGGUGUGUGCUAGUCUGUUUCUCAGAGAGCUCCUCUGACCUGAUGCUAGGCACCACAUCGCAUGAGUGUCAGCACCUGUCUUCCUGCAUCUCCAAAUGGGCAGCACUAAUGGCAGCGCUUCACUGGCUGCUGCAUGACCAAACCCAAAUAGUUUUCCCACAUUUGCUAUGCCACUGAAGUUAAAACUGGGC